rnacentral:rRNA from 1 species
UAGGGAAUCUUCGGCAAUGGACGAAAGUCUGACCGAGCAACGCCGCGUGAGUGAAGAAGGUUUUCGGAUCGUAAAACUCUGUUGUUAGAGAAGAACAAGGACGUUAGUAACUGAACGUCCCCUGACGGUAUCUAACCAGAAAGCCACGGCUAACUACGUGCCAGCAGCCGCGGUAAUACGUAGGUGGCAAGCGUUGUCCGGAUUUAUUGGGCGUAAAGCGAGCGCAGGCGGUUUCUUAAGUCUGAUGUGAAAGCCCCCGGCUCAACCGGGGAGGGUCAUUGGAAACUGGGAGACUUGAGUGCAGAAGAGGGGGGUGGAAUUCCAUGUGUAGCGGUGAAAUGCGUAGAUAUAUGGGGGAACACCAGUGGCGAAGGCGGCUCUCUGGUCUGUAACUGACGCUGAGGCUCGAAAGCGUGGGGAGCAAACAGG